UACGUAGGGUGCGAGCGUGUCCGGAAUUAUUGGGCGUAAAGAGCUCGUAGGCGGUCUGUCGCGUCGAUCGUGAAAACUUGGGGCUUAACCCUGAGCUUGCGGUCGAUACGGGCAUGACUGGAGUUCGGCAGGGGAGACUGGAAUUCCUGGUGUAGCGGUGAAAUGCGCAGAUAUCAGGAGGAACACCGGUGGCGAAGGCGGGUCUCUGGGCCGAUACUGACGCUGAGGAGCGAAAGCGUGGGGAGCGAACAGG
rnacentral:rRNA from 1 species